AACGAACGCUGGCGGCAUGCCUAACACAUGCAGGUCGAACGAGACCUUCGGGACUAGUGGCGCACGGGUGCGUAACGCGUGGGAACCUGCCCUUAGGUUCGGAAUAACUCCCCGAAAGGGGUGCUAAUACCGGAUAAUGUCUUCGGACCAAAGAUUUAUCGCCUUUGGAUGGGCCCGCGUUGGAUUAGCUAGUUGGUAGGGUAAAAGCCUACCAAGGCGACGAUCCAUAGCUGGUCUGAGAGGAUGAUCAGCCACACUGGGACUGAGACACGGCCCAGACUCCUACGGGAGGCAGCAGUGGGGAAUAUUGGACAAUGGGCGAAAGCCUGAUCCAGCAAUGCCGCGUGAGUGAUGAAGGCCUUAGGGUUGUAAAGCUCUUUUACCCGGGAUGAUAAUGACAGUACCGGGAGAAUAAGCUCCGGCUAACUCCGUG
rnacentral:rRNA from 1 species